ncrna:unclassified sequences Rhodo-rpoB RNA
CGAUCGGGAGGCCCGCGGUGGGACGCGGGCCGAGCAUGGAUCGCCCCGCCGUCUCCGAUGGACGCGCAGCUGUGGCCCGGCAGCGCGCGCG